CGCCCGUCGCUCCUACCGAUUGGAUGUGCUGGUGAAGCGUUCGGACCGGCGGCCGCAGGCGGUUCUCCGCCGGCAGUCGCUGGGAAGUCCGUUGAACCCUCCCAUCUAGAGGAAGGAGAAGUCGUAACAAGGUCUCC
rnacentral:rRNA from 1 species